GCAAGUCCAAGUACACGUCCUUGAACGACGGAAACUGCGAACGGCUCAUUAAAUCAGUUGCGAUCUACUCGGCGUUCCGCGCCGCCGGAUAACCGUAGUAAUUCUAGGGCUAAUACGUGCGAAGCGCCCGAAGCCGCGAGGCGACGGGCGUUCUCGCCGGAUGUAGGAACCGACCCGGGGACCGCCGGGGCAACCCGGCGCCCCCGAGACGGGGCGAACCACGGUGAAAUGACGGAUCGUCGGCCCCGCGCCGGCGACUCGCCGAAUGAGUUUCUGACCUAUCAACUCGAGACGGCGGGGUAGAGGCCCGCCGCGGUAACGACGGGUAACGGGGAAUCAGGGUUCGAUUCCGGAGAGGGAGCCCGAGAAACGGCUACCACUUCCAAGGAAGGCAGCAGGCGCG
rnacentral:rRNA from 1 species